ACAGCUAAAUUUUCCGGACAAAAUUGCCCCUACGGGGAUUCUGCUGACAGCGGAAAUGGGCCGCCUCAGCGCUUGGACUACCGCAGCCGCGCAAAAGCAAGCGCGGAUCGCGGUUCUUCUCUUUUUUAGCUGGUUCUGAACUUGAGUCCGCUGGGAGCGGAAAAACACCCGCCUCAGCACUCCUUCAAACGCGGCCGCGAAAUAUGAUCGUGGACCGCGCCAUUCAAUUUGAGCUCCCAACUAAUGCUCUCUGAUUCUUCAUUCCGCUAAGGGCGAGAACUAGACUGCGUCCACGUUAGAUGGUACCACUGCCCCGCAAUAUCAGCGCAAGCAGCAAUGACUGUUAAGUUGAAAGAAUCACUCUCUGAAUCCUCAAUCAGCUGAGAGAGACAUCAGGACCGCCUCAGCGGUAGACCCUCCGCGUCCGCUGUUAAUUCUCGCUAUCAGCGUCCUUUGAGUUCAACUUUGAACUUGUGCAGGUUUCACUCCUUUUUGAGCUGAUUAUGACUUCCUUAUCUCUUUUUGAACAAACACUGCAAACAAGCGCAAUAAGUUAGCUUUUGGGAAUACUUGUUCAUACUUUUAAUCCAAAACUUAAGCAAAAAGGAGCAAAAAAUAGGCAAAAAUCCUAGUUAUCACAAACGAAGCAAAAUGAUCGUUACGUCUCUCUCUCUCUCUCUCUCUCUCUCUCUGUCACGACCCUAACCCGGACCCGGUCGUGAUGGCGCCUCUCGUAAAGACAAGGCUAGCAAACUAUUCCUAAUUCGACAUUAAACAGUAAAAAAAAUAGUAGUAAAACAGUCUAAGACAUGAUUAAUAAUACGAAGUAGCAGAUAAUAUCGAUAAAAAUGCGGAAGUACAACCCAACACAGCCCUAACCAGGGCGUCACAAGUCACGAGCAUCUACUAGGGUCUAAAUACAACUGAAAAUUCUGAAACGUACAAAAUAUGGACUAAUGAAAUAAAGAGGGAGAAAAGUAGUGUUGUGAACGCCAGCAACUACCUUGCUAAACUCUGAUGACUCUGCCUCCGAUCAGCCAAUACCUGCUACCGGGUUCAGAAAUACCUGAAUCUGCACACAAGGUGCAGGGAGUAAAGUGAGUACUCCAACUCAAGCAUGUAAUUGCAAUUUCAAUCAUAAUUAGUCAAGGUAGAAAUGAAUUCAAAAGCCAAAUUAGUCUAAAUCUGCUAAGGUCAGAACCUAAGUGUGUAUCCCCCGCAGAGUCGCCAUGUUGUUGCACCCAAUUUUGCACCAGUCAAGACUGGAUUCAACUUGUGAUUUCUCUGUUGUUGAUGAAAAAGAGUCUCCAUCUAAUCUUUAAAGGCAUACUAGGGUACCUAUUUAACUAUUGAGUCAUAUUUUAUUAGUCUGCUAACCAGUGAGAUUAUGGGUAAUGGUUCUUGUUCUUCUAAGGGGAAUAUGUUAGGCACCCCCUUAAAAUCUACCCGAGGUAGAUCCAUAGGACUUAGACUAAGUUUGGGAUCAAUUAUUUGUGCUAUGCUUAAUUGCUAUUAAGAGUACAUCUUACUAUGCAUCUAAGGGAGAGUAUAAAAGGGAUGUGAUACAUAUGAGGAGUGUGUGUUAUAAAGGAGUUUAAAGAUACGUUGAGAAUUUUUUUGAAAUAUGUGUGUAAAUGGUACAUAUUUUUAAAGCAUGCGAAGAGAGAGUUUGAGUUAUAAAACACUUGGUUUAAAAGAUGGAUGUAACUCUAAGAGGUGUUUUUGAAAGUGAGCCUAAGAUAUACCUUGGUUCGAAGAUCCUUUAAGAAAAGAUUAUUUGCCAAAAAUCCCUUAAGGCGACAGUUCUUGAAGUUCUGAUUUUCCUUUUGAAAAUGAAGCUUCACCUUUUGAAAGAAAGCUACUAUUUUGCUAAGUUCUGGAUUUUAAAAUCUUUAAAGGAAAGAAAGGAUGAGUAAAAACAUAAUAAUUUGCCAGCAAAUUAUUUUUAGUGAAUUAAGGAUCUACUACUAACUAAUUUCCCUUUUUAAAUCCUAUGUUGUUUAAGGUUUGUCUAAGUUUACACCAAAGCAUAAGAGAAAAAGCAAGUGAUCUAAUAUAUGUGUUAUAUACAUGAGAGAAAAAAAAUAACAAUAAAGACAUAACAAAUACAACUAACAUUAAUUUAAACUAACAGAAACAACAAAGUGUACUAAUGAGAUAGUAAAGAGGACUAGACUCUGUGAUCGGGCCUCAAGGAAAGCAGGCCCAGUAGUAAAGAGAUGCGAAUACGGCUGAUUUUGGACUCCCCAACGGAAUUCAAUAAGGUUGGAAUUGGGCCUGAGUUCCUCAGGAACUCAAUGGCCCAAACAGAUGUACAUGUCAAAAAUUAAGAAAGUCAUUAGACACAAAUUCUAUAUAUUUAGCAUAUUCUAACAACAGAUCAUACUCUGACGAACAUAUAAUUGAAACAUGAAUGGGAUUAAUACUGUGGAAGAGUCAUAUAUCAAUGUAAUGGUUUUAUUUAGCAAAUAAUUCACAUUGAAACCUUUAGUUGUCAUUAAACUCUUAAAGAACUGAAUUUGUCAAUGAACUAAAGGCUAAGGACGGAACCCCACCCGAAGUCGAUGCUCCAUGUGAAUCCU
rnacentral:lncRNA from 1 species